rnacentral:rRNA from 1 species
AUGAACAACUUCCACGUCUACGAGGCCAUUGGCCGCGGCAAGCACGCGACGGUGUACAAGGGGCGGAAGAAGAAAACCAUCCAGUACUUCGCCGUCAAGAGCGUCAAGUCGCAGCGAUCCAAGGUCCUCAAUGAGGUCCAGAUGCUCCAUUCUUCAGAUCAUGCAAAUGUCCUGAAAUUUUACUCUUGGUACGAAACAUCAGCACAUUUUCGGCUAGUAUUGGAAUAUUGUGUUGGUGGAGACCUCAAGGGCUUGCUCGAGCAGGAUAAGAAGCUGCCUGAAAGUGCCAUGCACGACCUGGCUUAUGAUCUUGUCAAAGCCCUCCUGUUCUUGCAUUCACAAGGAAUUAUAUACUGUGAUCUGAAGCCAUCUAACAUUCUACUUGAUGAGUUUGGAUGCAUGAAGCUGUGUGGUUUUGGGUUAGCAAGACGUUUAAAGGACAUUGAGAAGACCAAUCCUGGAGAUGUGCCACAACCUAUGAGGGGGACACCAUGUUACAUGGCUCCUGAGUUGUUCCAAGAGGGAGGGGUCCACUCAUAUGCUUCUGAUUUCUGGGCUCUUGGUUGUGUGCUAUAUGAAUGCUAUGCAGGAAGACCUCCUUUCGUGGGCCGUGAAUUUACCCAGUUAGUCAAAUCCAUAGUUUCAGAGCCUGCACCACCUUUACCUGAUAACAUGUCAAGGUCUUUCCAGAAUCUGAUCAACUGCUUACUCAUGAAAGACCCAGCUGAAAGACUACAGUGGUCUGAACUAUGUGCACACAACUUUUGUAGGAACAGUAUGCCGAUGAUUCCUUUACCUCCUCAGCCUGCCUUUGAUAACAUGGUUGGACUUCCCGCUACGCCAUAUUUAGUUGAGCAAAAUGGGGAUAAACCCACCAGACAGCUGACGCCACCCAAGACUCGUGAACACCUACGCAAGAAAGAUGAAAAUUCCGCCAAGGUGUUCACGACCCCUAUUAAGAAUGUGCAAACUGGUAAGAAAAAUAAUCCAAAUCAUUGUAAGGCUGAUGGUUUGAAGGGUGUAAAUGUCCUUAGAAUGUCUCGCAUAGCUAAGAAAAAUUUGCAAAGGGAAAAGGCCGAGGAGAACUACAGGCGCCCUCCCACAGAAACAGACGAAAAUGAGGCUGAAGUUAAGAUCGGAAAUAUGGAGCUUGAUUUUGGUGAAAAUGCAGAAGGCGGUGCACCUGAUGAUAAUGAUGGAUCAGAUAAUGCUGGAUCCACAGCAGAUGAAAAACAUAGGACUCAAGGAACUGAUGGAAAUGAAGAGAACUGCAUAAAUCAGGUGGAUAUGCUCACGGAUGAGUGUUCUGUUAAGCCUGAUACCGUGUUGUAAGCUGAGCAGAACGUCCAAAGAUAA